UUUUUUUUGACUUCUCGACUGUACAAACCUAGAGGGUUCCAGCUUCGCCCCAACCCUGAAGACCGUCCCUUCAUUCGCCCUCUGCCACCUUGCGGGGGUCUUAGCCCCCUCAAACCCUGGCCUUCCCACGCGCUUGAGGGGGUUUGCCCUCGCCUCCGCCCCUGCCUCCAAAUCCCUUUUUAACAUACCACAUUGUCCCGCAGAACACAAGGACGAGAAAUUGGGGAGGGUGAGGGGAUCCGGAGGCCACAGCCAGCAAUCAGGGCCGUCCCUCCGCCCGGCAAGGACACACACGUCGCGAGCCCGGCCUGAAAUGUGUUUCAUUAUCACAUAAAAGGCUCCCGUGGCGAAGGAGCCGAGAGGCAGGGCCGGGGGCCGAGUGGGGGACAAUGGAGACUGAAAGCGCUGCCCUAACCUGCUAUGUUUCGUAUCGCAAGCUCAUUGUGCGAGGGUCGUUUUAAACUACUUAGCGAGCCCCCCACCACUGAUCCCGGCCGAUAAGAUAUAGUUCUGUCCGAAUACAUAAAAAGGAUGUCGGGGAGCCCGGCGCUUUCAGAGGCUUUUCUGUGCCUCUUGUGCCUUUCACACUCCGCUCCCGCCUCCGCCCCUCCCCCAGCCCGGGCGCCCAGCUUGCGGCUCGCACGGCGCCCUCCGCCCGUCGCCCGGACUCUUAAGUAUUGUAAGGUGUAGAGAUUCUGUUUUCCUCCCUCUCUUUUUCUUCUUUCUUUUCCCCGCGCUGUCCGCGCGCCGGUUUAAGCAACCGUGAUCUGUGAAUAAACAAAGUCAGUAAACAACCGAAAAAAACAUUGUAGAUCCGAAUUCCAGGAGGGUAAACUUUCCAUGCCACGUCACACUUCAGCAAAUUUGCACAGAUAUUAUAUUGCCUCCCACCUCCCUUCUUUUUUUUGCCAGGAUCCCAUUGUACUUAACUGAAUUUUAUAACGCUGAUCGAUAUCUUGGUAAAAUAUUCAUUUUUAAACUAGCGGGCAGUGAAAUCUUUGCUUUGUGUGCUAAAGUCAACAGUCGCUCCGUUUGAGCUUAAAUAAAUGCGCGGAUGCCUCGGCUCGGAGCAGUCGGCCGCCUCCCUCCGUGCUCAGGACGCUCCGCCGCCCGCCGGCCGCAGCGCAGAUUAGCUUAUUCAUGGCUACUGGAACAAAAAGAUGAGAAGAAGGAAGGACAUUUGCUUUCCUAAGCGCCCCGUGUGACGAGAGUCCACGCACUUCUCCCCACGCUGAACUUGACUAUCACAAGAGUGUCCCCAGAAGGCCAUAACCCUGCUGUCAGGUUGCUCCUGGAGGCUUUCCUCAGUUUGCAAUGAAUAUCAACUGAGUAACGAGACACAAAAGCAGGCUGUUAAUAGAGGGGCGAUGGUCCAAGUCCAGAUGGGUGUUGUGGAUGCAUACAGAGCUCGCAGGAUCAGGGAAGAGGGAGCAUGAAAAUCGAGAUGGGAAGACUUGGGUGGAACCACCAGACCAGCAACCACUAGAAUCUGUCAACACAAGGAUACUAAAAUGUGAAGUGUUGAUUUGUUCUGCUUCACAAAUUUGGGUUGUGACAGUCAAGUUGACCAAGUGGCAUUUAACCCCCCUGGAAGUUACUAAAGCUUAUGAUGAAUAAACAAUGAUGAGCAGCCAA